CAGGCACGCACACACAUAGGUAUAAACAAUAUUAGUCUUGCAUUUGCCUAUAAAAAUUAGUGAGAGUGCGAUUUGUUUGAACAAGAUGAGCUAUCUAAGCUGUUAUAAUAAGUUGGAAGAUGGGACAUUCAUUAUAUCUUCAAUGGAGAGAAUUGGUUCCAAUGAUUAAAUGUUGGCUUAAGGGGGAAAUAUUGGAAUGCAUCAUUGUAUAAUAAUCCUAAAGACUGAUAUAGAUUAUGAGAAAAAGUUGCCAGAUAUACACUGAUUUUGGGCAGCCUUUAAACUUGUGAGUUGUGAUCAUGGAAGUUUCAUGUAGAGAAUAUAAAAAUUGUGAUCAUGAUAGUGUUCACGUAGAGAGUAUACAAUUUGAGUUUGUGUGCUAACAACUUAAUCCAACAUGUGGUUGAGUGAAUCUUUCUGUGUGAAUUGUCAUAUAGCUCAUAUUUUACUUAGAAGUUUGCUUUAAGUACGUACAAAGAUCAGAAGUUUCCAAUAGUCUCAUCUGCCUUAUAAACAAGCUAGUUUCUUGUUUAGAGAAUUUUUGUUGAAUGCUUCAAAGAUUUAUGAUGACAUUGCUUGUAUAUAUAAUUUUGGUAUUUAAAAUUCACUAUUCUUUCUCAUCAAAAGAGAAAAGAGAAACUUAGUAAUCCUUGGCUGCAGGUGGACAUGGUUACUCCUAUGUGUUCUCAAUUAACUUAUGAAGGACUACUGGAUG
rnacentral:misc_RNA from 1 species